rnacentral:rRNA from 1 species
GACAGAGGGUGCAAACGUUGUUCGGAAUUACUGGGCGUAAAGCGCGUGUAGGCGGCUAUGCAAGUCGGAUGUGAAAGCCCUCGGCUCAACCGGGGAAGUGCACCCGAAACUGCAAGCUAGAGUCUCGGAGAGGAUCGUGGAAUUCUCGGUGUAGAGGUGAAAUUCGUAGAUAUCGAGAGGAACACCGGUGGCGAAGGCGGC